AUAAAACUCCAUAACUAAAGCCCGCUCUUUUGGGACCCUCUAAACAAGGGUUCAAAGUGAGAUCUUUUUGAGUUCUCGAUUCCCUGAAGAUAAGGGGGUAAUAUGUGUAUCUCAAACACCGAUAACCAGAUGGCUGUGGUGGAAACCAAGGUCAGUUGGAAAUAACAGACAAGAAUUGUUGGGAAUAACCAAGGAUUGUUGUUAUUAACACGGCCAUGAGAAAGAUCAGGUUUUGGCUGCAGAAGGGGGGCCAAGCAGAGAUAGGGCAUUUUUCUGUUACAAACAACCACAACACAGCACAGCGCAAACGCAGGAAUGAGUGGCAGGGAGGGGGCAUGGACUAUAGGGUGGGAUUAAGAGCCCCAAAGACCCCCAGAGCCCUCCAACCCAUUUCCAGAAAGGUCUGAAAGAACGGACUGCGCAUGAGAACUAAUUUACAUGGAAAGUGAGAAACCCAUCUUUGGGGUGGGGAAACCUGCCUAUAAAUGCCCAGGCAACAUCCUCAGAACCCUGGACAUCUCAUCAACUAGACCAAGACAGCUGCAUUGGCUCUGAAACCAGGAUCAACAUCCCAUCAGCUGGAUCGGUGCUGAGAUCAGGAUCGACAUCCCAUCAGCUGGAUCAGCGCUGGAACCAAGGCUGGAAAGCCUAACAACCUGUUCCUGUUGGCAUGAAUCUCAUGUUGGUAAAGAAGCUGCCACAUUACAACCUGAGACAGCUGUUGAAGCAAGCACAAGACAAAGAAAAGAAGUCUGGUUCUGUUCAUCACAAUGUGAAAGGCAGCCACUGAGUGAUGGAACAAGUGAAGAUAGACGAGGAACACCACUGGUGGGACAUUUUAUUUGAGUCAUUGCCAAUAGCAGCAAGGAUUUUUAACAAAAUGUUGCACCUUUUGCUUGUCUUUUUGAUGUUAGUCAUUCUCUUUUUCAUUUUAGUAGGAGGUUUGCACAUUGUAUAGAAUUAGAGAUUACCCCCAAUGCUUAGAAACAGCUUAUAGACUGUAUUUGUCCCUCUAUUCUUCUGUCCCUCUCCCUCUCUCUCUUCUUUUCCUAUUUCCAGCAAUCACCAAGUCCAUAUCAAAAUCUGAGCCAUAGGGUGUAGUGUAGAAGCCCCAUAAGUUUGCUGUUCCAGUGUGGAAUGUGCCUUUUGUUUUUGUGGGGGUUUUUUUUGGUUUUUUUUUUUUUAGAAGGCAGCAGUGAUGGGCCUAAGAGUUUAUGGGUUGAGUUUCCUGGAGUCACUUCCCACCAGAUGCUGUAUUGUCAAAGCUCUCUGACCCUGUCAGGUACACCAGAGUCAGGGAGCAGUUGUGGGGGAUAUAUCAGGUGCACAGUGCUCCCCAGGGACACACAACUGGCACACGGAGCAGCUGUGGGGUAAGUGGUUGUUAAGCCCAGCACAUGUGCAUUGCAGCAGAUCCAGCACCUUCUCUGCAUCAUGGACAUCCAGAUGAUGUAGUGCACAUGGAGCUUGUUGCUUCCCAGGCCAGUCUGCUAGAUUUCCAGCCACAUUCCACAAUCUCCCUUUCCCAGCAUCGUAUCCCACUGAGGUUUGUUGUAGAUUUCCAGGAAACUGGAGGAAAAAAUUUCCCAUAUGGCCUUAGGUGAAGAGGCAUAGCAGUCCAGGGUUGCCUGGAGGAGCAGAUGAAUCUUCUGGAAUAUUUUCUUUGGUAAGCUCUGGGUGGGAAGACAUUGAAGCUGAAGUUGUAGUGAAGAUCUGGGCUGCACUCCCAACACAUGUGGGACACCUUUGGGCCACUUCAGCACCAGUGCCCCGGGCUCCUGGAGGGUGAAGGGCAGGUGCCACAGCCCCUGCUGCCAGUCUGAUUCCUUUGGAACCACUGGCAGCAGAACACAGGGAUAUUCCUCUUGAGCACCUGUCUUGUGGAAGUGCUACUCUUUCUGCUCUUCCAGGAGAGUUUUCUGGAAUAUUUCCCAGACCCAGAGCUUGGCCACAUGGUCCACAUGAACCCACAGAUGCUUGUUCAUUAAGAUCAGGCAGGUCUUCAUGACUUUCAGCUGCUCCCUCAGCACCCACUACCAGCCUUUGGCCCCACCACGCUCCCACCACCACUGCUCCUCUACCUACAGCCACCGCUUUUCAUCUGCCUCAACUGUAGACUUGCACCUGCUCUGCUACAGCUCCAUCUAAAAUUCCAACAGCGCAAACUCCAUGGAGCCCACCCAAAUACUGUUGGCUGUUACCCUGGCAUUCCUGCCCUUGCUGCUCCCUCUUGAGCCCCGCCAGGCACUGCUUCAGUUUCCCACUCCUUCUUCUCCAUCUCCAGGUCCCCGAGACACUCAUAGGCCCUCCACAGCAGCCCCUGCAAACCCUUCAUUUGGCUCCACAGGUCCCAAAGGCGUUGUUGCAGGAUGCCAGGAAGAGAAGGACCAGAAUUACAGCAGUCUGAAGACAGGCAUUCAUACAGGUGUUUUUUAAAUUUUAGCAGCUGGCCACUUCAUUUAAUAUUGGACCCAGCAGCCUUGUUCCUCUGUCAGAUAAACUGGUGGUAACUAGUUAUGCUGGAACAACUCCACAUCUGCCCAAAUGCAAAUAUCUUGACUUGCAAAAUGUGCAAAAACUGGAAACACUCUGUGUAAACUGAGUAUAAGGAGGGAGUCUCUGCACCAUAUUGGCAAGAAACUGUUCUAUGAAGAAAACCCAUGCCGUUUUGUACUUUUAGGUACUGCCUGCAAUUUAUUCACCUCCUUGAAGGCAAAUAUUCACUCAUCCAGUUGAACACAUGACUUUUUGAGUACAUCAAAAAUUUCUCUGACUAAACACUUUUUCCACAUGAACAUCUUUUCCACCACAGAAAUGUCAAAUAUGCCUUUGUAACUAUAUAGGCUGGACUGUCAUCUGACAAAUGCUCAUUAGUCUUAUAGAAAUAAGCAUCCACUAUCAGGGGAUGUGACUUUAACUAUCCAGCUCCUGUCACAACACAGGAAUUACUACACUUUACCUAUACAUACUGUUGAGAUUUACUGCCUAUCCCCUUUGAGAUGAAUUGUGCACUAGUGAAAAAAAUCACUGCAGCAAGAUGAUCUGUGUCGACUACUGGAAUGCACCCAGAGCAAUGGACACAGAAACCCAAGUACAGAAAAGAUACAUAACAUAGAAAUGGUCUUGGAAAGAGUGAUGAAAAUUGGAGAGCAUCACUAGUGGGACAUUUGGUUUGGGUGGUCAUCAGCUGCAACAAGAAUUCUAGACACAAUGUUGCACUUUAUUGUAAUUUUUGUGAUUUAUGUUGUAUUAUUCUUACUGUUGAAUAUAGUUCUAUAUGUUAGAGUGUG